GGUACGGUCGAACGAUGUAGGUGUUUCGUGGCGUAUUGUAGCAGCAAUCUAGCUGUUUUUGCUGCUUUUUAUUCUUAUGAUGUGUUGUGGCUAAUUCAUCGAUGCAAGCCAACUAGCAAGGUGUUUGCGAAGCUCACGGUGCUUUCUUCGUUCCGUGAUGUGAGCGUUUCUGGAACUUCUCUGCCAGCUGCGAUGCAGUGUCGUGUGAAGUGAUUCAAUAUUGGCACUGUCCGUGUUUUAAACUGCACAAGUAGCGAAUAGCUGUUCCUCAAGACUGCUAUGCACCGACGUUUUCUCUAUCUCCAGACUAUAAUAAAAGGGUUGGUUCAUUCUGCAAACAUUCUGGACAUCAGCUCUGAAUGUAAAGAAUACAUUAUAAUCGAUGCUUCCUAGAGAUUAUGCGACAGCUGCCAUGCCGUAAUCAACUAAGUCAUCAUUAAUUUAUUAAUUUUAUUGAUUUGUCUACUACUUCUUUCACAAUUCUGUGUGAAUAUUUUUUGUGUGAAUAAACUUCUUUCAGUGCAAA